AUGUUUGUUGAACCUUUCAAAUACCGCGCGAGGACAGAACAAAGGACCACGUGCUCCACGCUCACGCCAAGCGCAGCGUGCACGCGCGUCACAUGGCCUCCGUUUCAUGGCACAUGGCUGUUUCAACGCGCAAAGCUCACAAGCUCGACGCCGAUCUCACGUCACACUCACAUGGCUGUUUCAACGCGCAAAGCUCACAAGCUCGACGCCGAUCUCACGUCACACUCACAUGGGACACUUCUGCAAGUAUCACUUUCUCUAUGGAGAUUUAAAUGCUGGUUUAAAGUGUUAUUAUGAUCUGAUUUGUUGUUGGUUCCACUAAGGUUUACUGACUGAUUUUCAUACCUGAGCUCAUUCUGUGAUCUCUCUCGCUUUCUACACUUCUCUCUCUCUCUCGCUCUCUCUCUCUCUCUCUCUCUUUUAUUUGGAUUCCGUUAUGUCUUGUAAAUGUUUAUUGUCUGUAUUUUCGUACGCAUAUUUACUCUGUGUGAUUUGUAGUUUGAUGUAUUACUAGUUGAAUUAUUAAAAACUCAUAUAUAAAAUGAUUGGCUUUGGACUCCACCCCACUCACAUUACGAGUCACUGAGAUGUGUCUGAUCUUUAGCUACAAGCUCUAAAUUUAGAAACUAAAUUUAUCAUAAGGAUAGGAUAAUAUUUUCAUGGCCAGAGAAUACUUUUCCUUGAAUUAUAAGGCGUGAUAACUUUAUUGAAAAUUGAUAGGUCUAUAGUGGUGUGCUGGACAUACCACGGUUUGAUCUGCAAUAAUUUACAGUAAGAGAUAUCACAAUAAUUGAUAUGAAGAAUGUAAUAUGACAUAUUAAUGAGUAAAUUACAGUGCCCUGUGAUUAGUAUUGGUAUUGGCAAUUGAGCUAUUUUCAUAAUCAAUAAAAUUAAAUGUAACUGUCAUCUGAGAUAUAUAUUAAUCAAAUUCUUGAUUAAUUAUUCAAAUUCCCUAUAUAUCAUUUGAGUUAAUUACUAUGUAAAACUCAUUGUUGUUACAUUUUGGUGGAGGAACGCGGCUAUUUCAAACUUCGUUUUGUGAGCAAUCAAUCUGUGUAUAUGGUUCUUAAUAAUUUCUGCACGUGCGCUAUGAAAUUAUGUAACGUUACUGGUGAGAUAAGUCGCAAGACGCGAACUCACUCAACUGACUGAGGCAAAAAGCUGGUCAGUCCAGCGCUAGGUAUUUGUAGAAACUUAACAGUAUAGUCACUGUUAUUUUAAUGAAAGUAAACUGCAGUAUAAUUUAAAA
rnacentral:lncRNA from 1 species